UACGUAGGGUGCAAGCGUUGUCCGGAAUUAUUGGGCGUAAAGAGCUCGUAGGCGGUUUGUUGCGUCGGCUGUGAAAUCCCGAGGCUCAACCUCGGGUCUGCAGUCGAUACGAGCAAACUAGAGUGUUGCAGGGGAGACUGGAAUUCCUGGUGUAGCGGUGAAAUGCGCAGAUAUCAGGAGGAACACCGGUGGCGAAGGCGGGACUCUGGGCCGAUACUGACGCUGAGGAGCGAAAGCGUGGGGAGCGAACAGG
rnacentral:rRNA from 1 species